GAAUCCCACCACUGCCCUUGACUCUCAGCAGGAGGGUAUGUGACGUCUGCAUUCUGGGUGCCCCUUAGAAUGACCCAUCCCUCAUUCCUCCAAGGGGGGCAGCAGUUUCCCAGGAGGAAGAGAGAAUGUGCCCCACACAGGUGAUGGAGGGCUUGGUGCUGCCUCCACCUGGCUGCUGUGUCUCGGCUUAAACUCUGUGCCCGGAACAUGUGUGCCUCUGAGACCUUCAUCCUCCUGAAACCUGUUGGCCUUUCCCACUCCUGAAGGAAGACCCAAAAUGCCUCACGGUCCUUUAGUGCCCUUGGCUAUACCUCUUCCCCACACUCUUGCUUCUGGCCUCACUGGCAGCUGAAGGGCAGCUGGCCGUCAGAGGCAAAGCCACCAGGCUUUGGGCCCCCAAACCUGAAGUCUACAGCUGACAUCUAGCUUCCUCACUAGGGCGGAAAAGGCCCCGAGACCUGACCCCGGUGGCCCCUCCUAUCUCCCUAGGCUCAUCACCCCUCUCCCUCUGCCUGUCACAUGGACCUUCUCUCCAUUCCCUACCCAAGCCACGCUUCCUGCCUCAGCACCUGUGCCCUGGCGUCCCAUCUGCCUGGCACACUCUUCCUACGGCUCCUUCAGGGCCUCAGUUCAGAAUUUACCUCCUUGGAAAGGAUGCUCCUGACCGAGCACACGGUCAUGCUCUGCAUGGUGCCUACUUAUUUCUUCAGAGCAAACCAGGGCGAGGACCAAGUCUGCUCUGUUCCCUGCUGUUCCUCAAGAGCCUGGAACAGUCCUGACCCGGAGUCAGUGCUCCACAGCCGUGGACGAAACGAAUGGACAGGAAAGCUAAGGAAUGGCUGGGGACAGAAGGAUGGGUCAUCUGCACAGAAUGUGCCCAGCUCUCCAGUGGGCGAUGAAAUGAUUGUAAUAAUAGCAGUUAUUAGCCAGUUGUACCAACCAGCGAUAAUGGGGCUACAGCACUCAAAAGGGACACCACUCACUCUAACAUCCAGAAAAACAGUAAACAAUAAUUUCAUCUUUAAUGAAGGAUUUCAGAGGUCUGGCAUUGCGGGUAGGGAUAAAUUGUGUGGCACACACACAAAAUGUCCCAAAGAUCUUUUGUAUCCACUGAACUCUCCAAACUUCCUCUUAUCCUGGAAGCUGUCCCGCCUUGCAAAACAAUGUCUCUUCUCUCCCACAGACCUCUCUCUGGCAGCAGCCUUCCUCCUCCCUCCAUCCUGACCUACUCUUCUCUUCUUCAUCUUCUAUUCCUGUGUCCAUGCCCUGCUUUAAAAGCACUUGCUUACAUCUCCUGCCUGGUACAGAGUAGGCACUAAAUACAUGACAGAUGGAGAGAGAGGAGGGGAGAAAUAAAGGAAGAAAAAAAGGAAAAGGAGAGAAAAACUGCAAAUAAACUAGCAUCACUGUUGAAAAGUUACUUUGCAACAGGUUCUGGGGCCUUGUCACAGAUGCCAGAUGAUAUGCAUCGAUCAGCAAACGGGGCAACGAAACCAAGAUGUUUUCCAAAAGCUUUCUGAGAGGCAGGAGAGAAAGGUGAACUUUGGAGUGUACCUGAUGCACACGGCUUUGGAUUCGUCUUCUCCGUGUUACCUGUCUGUAGGAUCUCAGGUGCUCCCUAUGUUGAAGGAAAACACAGAACACGAUGAUUUAUCUGCUUCUGAGAAACAUCAGCAUGUGGUCUCCUAAAAUUUGUUUUCAACAUAGAUUAAAAUUUCUCUUUUACAACUAUCUCCA